AAUUCAGGGUCCUGCUCACAUGGGAAAUACUUUCUGAGACUCACGGACCUCCUGCACAAGAACAUGAAACACCUGUGGUUCUUCCUCCUGCUGGUGGCAGCUCCCAGAUGGGUCCUGUCCCAGGUGCAGCUGCAGGAGUCGGGCCCAGGACUGGUGAAGCCUUCACAGACCCUGUCCCUCACCUGCGCUGUCUCUGGUGGCUCCAUCACUAGUGGUUAUUACUACUGGAGCUGGAUCCGCCAGCCACCAGGGAAGGGACUGGAGUGGAUUGGGAGUAUCUAUUAUAGUGGGAGCACCUACUACAACCCAUCCCUCAAGAGUCGAGUCACCAUAUCAGUAGACACGUCCAAGAACCAGUUCUCCCUGAAGCUGAGCUCUGUGACCGCCGCGGACACGGCCGUGUAUUACUGUGCGAGAGGCACGGUGAGGGGAGAGAAGAGGCCAUGUGGAGACAUAGUGGACUAGAAGAUGCAAGCCAAGAAGAAGCCGCACCAAGAACCAACCCUGCCAGCACCUGGACCUUGGACAUUCAGACUUCAGAAUGGUGAGAAAAUCAAUGUUUGUUGUUUAAGCCACCCACUCCUGUUGUCUUCUUAUGAAGACCCAGACAGACUAAUACCACAUAACUCUGUUAUCUCCUGGAGGGAGAAGCAGCCCCCUGAGGCUGGGCACAUCUCUCAGAUUUCCAUAUGAAGUUGGCAGAAAUAGUAGUUCUCAUAUCAAAAUGUGUCAUGGCCCUGUUGGCCAUUUUUUUUUUGACGGAGUCUCGCUCUGUGGCCAGGCUGGAGUGCAGUGGUGCAAUCUCAGCUGACUACAACCCCCGUCUCCUGGGUUCAAGCAAUUCUCCUUCCUCAACCUCCUGAGCAGCUGGGACUACAGGUGUCCACCACCAUGCCAGGCUAUUUUUUUUUUGUAUUUUUAGCAGAGACAGGGUUUCACUGUGUUAGGAUGGUCUCAAAUCUCCUCACUGCAUGAUCUGCCUGCCUCGGUUUCCCAAAGUGUUGGGAUUAAAAGUGUGAGCCACCGCACCUGGCCCCUGUUGGCCAUUUUUGGGGCAAGGUCUCUGAAACCAGCCCUGGUGCCUGUACCACAAGAUUUUCUUUUAUAUUUCAUGUGGAUAUAACAAAUGGACAAUGAGGACCAGCUGCAUGGAGACUGACCACUGAACAUCUUCUGCUGUCUCCUAAGUAAGUCACAGGAAAACACACCAACAUCACCAACAUAACUGUUUUCCUUCAACUUCCUCGAACGAACUAUAGAAAUGAUCCCUUAAAGUAUAGUCUAUUCCUUCAACUUUCUAAAUUUGCAUUGAUGCUUCCUAAGUUAGGAGCUACACAGGGUCUGAGUUUUGUUCCCUUUCUCCCAGUCUUCCCCAAGUAUCAAGGACAGAGUAGAUUUAAAUUAAAUUUGGCCGUCCAUGCCCCCAACACCACAUCGGUUUCUAACAUCCUUGUCAUGUACCCAUCCUUCUGCGGGCACCCCACAUCAGGUUGCCCAGGAAUGGCCAGAAGCUGGCAUCACCUUAUGGGCUGAGGCUACAAGUUAUACAGACGUGUGAUUUCAGUCACACACACUCUACUGCAGGACACACCUGUGUUCUGAGGAGCUCAGGCGCCUGCUGAUCUCAGGUCUUCUCUAAUAAAUUACACACCUCUUAUGAAUGAAGGUCCAGAUGGCCCCAUCAGCUGCAGAGCAGUGGAUUAAAGCUCAUGGGUGGGUCAGUCAGGCAGAAGUCAGACAAUGGGAUAAUAGAAGUCAGACAAUAGUCACUGAGGUUCCCAGUGUAUUUUAAUGGAAUAAAACAAUAUUAGCAACAAAGGGCCAGUAAAGAAGACUGGCUCUUGAAGGUAUUUAAGGACCAGGAACUUUAUUUGGGGGGAAAGUGAGAGACACUUUUACAUGGAAAGCCCUAAAGCACAUACAGCAGCUAACAGAGUGGCCACUGUGCACAUGAGGGCUGAGGAGACGGAUGGUAGUUUACGUUGCUCCAAGAUGUUCCUGGGUGUGUGAUGGUUAGACUCCUCAUGCAUAUGAAAAUAAGAGCUGGACUCAGGGAGAAACAAGGGCCAUACCCCAUAGAAAAGGGAGAAAAGAAACAGAUGGGCACCCCUGGAGAGAGCUCAUUAGAUUUGGUAGGUUUGAGAUGAAAAUUACUUCCAAAGGUUUUGAUAUUCUAAGCUAAAUAUGAAUCUCUUCAAUAAAGUGAGAAUUAAAAGAAGAAUGGAGCUAGGAGUUGAGAGAGGGAACAAAUUAUGAGAGAGCAGAAAGCAAAUCCACCAAAACUGUCACAUGACAGAGGCCAGAAUGGAGCUGAUGCAGCUACUUCACUAUUCUGCAGACCUAGUUGACCAUGUGGAGAAGGGGUUCGAACAAACGGGGACGUUCUCCAACCUUCCAAAACAACCUCCUUCUUAUGCAUAUGCAGUAAUCAUGAUUCUCAGGGUGGCCUUCCCAAGUUUCCUGUUCUUACCUCUUCCCCCAGGGGUAGAGUGUCUUUUCCAACCCACAGUGGUUUCUCUGCCAUGUCCUCAGCUUCUCCUCCAUUGUACUUAACCUGAAGAUUAAGGAUUUCAUCUGGAUGGAGUUUCCUGGGAAUCGUCUGUUUUCUUUGGUUUCUGUUGACCACAUCACAGGCCAUAGGACUCAGGUUUUAGUGGAUUUCCCCUGGAGACAGUGGAGGUGAAUCCAGGCGUUCCACAGUCCUUACCGUUCUUCUCUUCCUGUCAGCACUGCAGGGCAGCAGAUAAGGGAGCUGACUGUGGAUUUUUCAGAUCCCCGGGAAAAAGCCUGCAAGGACUAAUAGUUUCACAUCUAACACCAUUAGCACAUGCAUCCAAAAUUAAAAAAAAAUCCUCACUAAGUAUUUCCAGGUUAGCCUGUUCCUCUCUCAGUGCCAUCCCGUGGCACCUGCCCUGGGUUCGGUAACAUGUGGGCCCCAGUCCUCUCUGCAGGUGUCUGCCUCCUCAGAUUUCAGUCCUCUUGUUUGCUCCAUGAAAGCAACUCAGAUAUGUUAAAAGGUUUUCUUCUUCAUUUAUUCAUAAUUUUUCAGGUUUGUUGUUAAUGAGGAAAGAGUAAGAUCAUAGUUUCCUCAUUUUUCACAUUCCCAUACUGAGUAACUGCUCUCUCUCUGUGAAAGCCAGAAAUUAAGGGAACAACUCAAGUAUCCAUAUCCAUUACAAGUGAAUGUUAGACAAUUUGACGUAUGAUUAUGAACUAAAGUACAACACAGGAUUAGAAUCAAGGCAUCCUCGUUCUCAUAAAAUCAUGGCUGCAUUCACAAAUAACUGUGCUGAGUGGAAGUAGCUAACAAAUUAACAGUGCACUUCAUAAACUUCUAUUUGUAUAAACUGCAGAAGGUACAGCUAUUCUAAAGCAACAGAGAAGAUUACAUAUUUGGUGAGAAUUGGGUUUUGAAAGUAAUGGGGUGGUGAGAUAAAAUUACAGAGAAGUGACACAAAGAUUUAGGUGUGAAUUGUACACAAAUUAAUUGAAGCUCUGAUUAAAGGGUUGCACACAUGUUACCAUUUUCCAAAUUAUGCAGUAUAUAUUUGAAUUAAUUAUUAAUUGUACUUAAAUAAAGCAGUAACAAAGAAACAAAUGAAUACAUUUAUUGAGGUGGAGCCAAAACUAGAUGGGAAUGAACACUCGAAACAUCUCUGACUCUUGAUGAACACUGGUUCUCUCUAUGUAUUUCAGGUCAGUAGCAGAACACACUAAAAGAAAACAGAGAUGUUUUCUGGCAGGGGUGGAAUCCUGCAGACCUCACUAGGCAUGUCUCACACUGCCCUGGAGUUGUCUCAGGGGAGCAGUCUCCUCUAGUGGUCAGAGGCAUAGGCCGAGAUAAUGGGGCUAACUCAGUCCAGCUGUGUGACCUUGAAUGCAUUGUAUAAACACUCUGUUCUGUGUGUAAUUUAUCUUCCUUAAAAUGUGACGUUGACACUUGCAUUAAAUGUAUUCUGUAAAUAUGUAAAAA